UACGGAGGGUGCGAGCGUUGUCCGGAAUCACUGGGCGUAAAGGGCGCGUAGGCGGCCUGAUAAGUAGGGGGUGAAAUCCUGCGGCUUAACCGCAGGGCUGCCUUCUAAACUGUCAGGCUUGAGCACAGUAGAGGCAGGUGGAAUUCCCGGUGUAGCGGUGGAAUGCGUAGAGAUCGGGAAGAACAUCAGUGGCGAAGGCGGCCUGCUGGGCUGUUGCUGACGCUGAGGCGGCGACAGCGUGGGGAGCAAACAGG
rnacentral:rRNA from 1 species